GCACCUGUGGCUCAAAAGGGUAGGGUGCCGGCCCCAUAUGCCGGAGGUGAUGGGUUUAAGCCCACCAGCUACU
rnacentral:tRNA from 1 species